CGGUUUCAAUUUGUUGAGGGCAAAUAAAAUGGAUAUGGGUAUCAAUACCACCGGCAGUUAAAAUCAUUCCUUCUCCAGCGAUAACUUCUGUUACCGCACCGAUGAUAAUAUCCACUUGGGGCUGAAUUUCAGGGUUUCCUGCUUUACCAAUUUUGAAAAUUUUACCGUCUUUAAUACCCACAUCUGCUUUAAUUAUUCCCCACCAAUCUAGGAUUAAAGCGUUAGUGAUAACCGUAUCUACUGAACCAUCUGCCCUUGAAAUGCCCGAUUGCCCCAUCCCAUCCCG
rnacentral:sRNA from 1 species